rnacentral:rRNA from 1 species
AAUCUUGCGCAAUGGGCGAAAGCCUGACGCAGCAACGCCGCGUGGGGGAUGAAGGCCUUCGGGUUGUAAACCCCUUUCAGGAGGGAAGAAAAUGACGGUACCUCCAGAAGAAGCCCCGGCCAACUACGUGCCAGCAGCCGCGGUAAUACGUAGGGGGCGAGCGUUGUCCGGAAUCAUUGGGCGUAAAGAGCUCGUAGGCGGCUCAGCAAGUCGGCUGUGAAAUCCCGAGGCUCAACCUCGGAACUGCAGUCGAUACUGCUGUGGCUAGAGUCUGGUAGAGGAGAGUGGAAUUCCCGGUGUAGCGGUGAGAUGCGCAGAUAUUAGGAGGAACACCAGUGGCGAAGGCGGCUUUCUGGACUGUAACUGACACUGAGGCAUGAAAGCGUGGGUAGCAAACAGG